rnacentral:tRNA from 1 species
CAGUGGCCGAGUGGAGAACGCGAUGGCGUUUGAAGCGAAAGGUACUGGGUUCGAGUCCCAGAGUGAA